GCCAAAGCCAGCUACAGAUUGGCACCGAGUUGCACUUGUUGUCACGCUCCCUCCCCAUGGAUCACAUUUGCUCCAAGAUGUUCUGGGUAUUUCCCGUCUCAGUUUCUGCUUUCCACUGUGGGUUGCCUCCCCCUGGAAUGAGUUGUUAACACUCCAGUCUCUACGGACGCCGCAAACAAAGCAGCUGCUGCUGGCUACUCCCAUCCCCCUGGGCCUGUACACACUGCUAACCCAUUGCGGUGCAACCUGCGGUGGGGUUGUUGAGCCCAUCUCGGCACGGCGCCAACCCACCACUGCCUUCACCUUGGCUGCGAUCCUGAGAAGAGGCUGCAGUACCUAUUAAUCAUAAACCCUGCUGAUUAAACCCAUCUAGCUAUUUCACUAGCUACAAGCAGAGGCAAGGGCUGACCUGGAAGCAGCUUUGUCCUGCCAUCCAGCUGCCUGGCCAUGCACACAAAGCCAAGGAAAGAACUGGGUCUUCAUCUCUGUUUAAUUUGUUGCUGGUCAUGGGAUUUCCACUUGCAUGUCGCUGUGGUAUAACACGGCCACGUGUGGGAUUUUUCAGAAUGACAGAAGCUAAAAACUUCCACCAAGCCCUGAACAAGCCUGUUAAAACCUCCACUGAACAUAGGCAGGGGUAAGUGAAGAAGGAUGGACCCUGUUCCUGUGCUGCAGACACCCUGCUUCAUGCCCUGGGAAAAGGGUAUGUCAGGAUCUCAAGCACAAGUCCAGAGCUGUUUAGAAAAUGAAAACCAAAGCUCCCUUGAACAUCUUUGUUUCUAUUCUUAACCACAAUUUCAUUUGCAUUGAUGUUUCCUGACCAAUUCUCUCCUCAAAAUAAUUGAUGGGAAAAAGAUCAAGAGGUGUAAUUAAAAGAGAAACAAACAGAAAACAAAGGGAAGAGGGUAAAUGGGCAUGUGACUUUGGGUCAGGGAAGGAAGAGGAGCAGGUGGUAGAACUGAUGAGGGAGAUUUAAUGAACUGCAAUUGACUUCAAAUAACAAAGGAGGAGGAACCUAAUCCUACCAGUUGGAUCUGUACACAUAUGGACUUAUCAUAACAAAUGGUAAUCAAUCCAUCAGCCUUAAAUUAAAGAUAAGGUGGGCAGGAAGGAAGGGAUGGAAUUUAUUCUCUUCUUCCCAUCCCUCCCCCCACCAAACUAAAUCUGUUUGCAUGUGUCCAUGUCUUUGUUGUCAGAAUUAGCGUCUGUCAUCUCUCCAUUCUCAAUGAAAGCAGUCACCUUCCCGUGCUUCACUAUGCCACUGAGGACAGGCCCCUUUAGAAGCUUCCCCAGGAAUUCAGGCUCCUGGUUACCCUGAUUCUGCAGUGUGUUUCACUUGACACUGAUCAAGGCUCAGCAGCCUCAGAAAUGUGCUUGUAGGACUCUGCGUGUAAACGCUCGCUGAGCUUUAAUCAAAUGCACAUCACAGAGAGUCCUGCGUGACAGAAAGCAGAACCACCAGUGCUCAGACCUGCCAAGAAGAGCCUCAUCUGCAAUACAAGCAUUUUUCCUCUUUUGUAUCAUUUUGGCCCUGGCUUUCUCAUUCUAGUACAAGCUGCAGAAAUAUUCUAGGAUUUAUAUGUUAUCUCCUUGUCUCAAGCUGAAGACAAAUUCACUAUGCUUUCUAAAUAUAUACCCAGGUUUUAUGAAUCCUCAUUAAGUUUUCAAGGAUAAACUUUCUAUUUUAAGGUCUGGAUCAUCCAAAGAGAGCUGCACAGCUGGACACCCCUUUCCUACAUAUUCAGGGAAGCAUGUCUGUGCACAUGGGUUUUUUUGUAGGAUUUGCCCCACAUUUGGCCUGGCAGGAAGUUUCUCCCAAAUAAAAUGUUUCUAAUGUGGUGUUUCCA
ensembl:lncRNA